rnacentral:lncRNA from 1 species
GCCAGCAGGAAGUGGCUCGAACAGGUUCAAGGAUCCGCUGGCGUACCGGAAUCGGUUUUUUUCAAUGCACGUGCCCAUUGUCGUAUUGGCAAAUUUUGAAUUCUUGCUCGUUUCGCGUUUUUGGAUGAUCGACCAAUCGGUGGGUGGGUCGCUCUGUGGGUCAGUCGACCCAGCGCACGUUUUAUGAUUGUUGCUGUUGCACCUGCUGCUCCUCUCCCCUCCCUACAUAGCAUGAAACGCAUGGAAAUUUACCCGAAUCGAUUGGAGGAAACGUUUUAUUUGGGGCUCGGUGCAAGCGCCACUUAAAUGAAUUGCAUAUUUGUGCUCUGCUCUGCGCUGCAUCUCUUUCUAUCGUUC